rnacentral:rRNA from 1 species
CCUUGAGUUCGGGCCGCACGCGCGCUACACUGACGGAGCCAGCGAGUAUAAACCUUGGCCGAGAGGUCUGGGAAAUCUUGUGAAACUCCGUCGUGCUGGGGAUAGAGCAUUGUAAUUAUUGCUCUUCAACGAGGAAUUCCUAGUAAGCGCAAGUCAUCAGCUUGCGUUGAUUACGUCCCUGCCCUUUGUACACACCGCCCGUCGCUACUACCGAUUGAAUGGCUUAGUGAGGCUUCCGGAUUGGUUUAGAGAAGGGGGCAACUCCAUCUUGGAACCGAGAAGCUAGUCAAACUUGGUCAUUUAGAGGAAGUAAAAGUCGUAACAAGGUUUCCGUAGGUGAACCUGCGGAAGGAUCAUUACAGAAUGAAAAGUGCUUAACUGCAUUUUUUCUUACACAUGUGUUUUUCUUUUUUUGAAAACUUUGCUUUGGUAGGCCUUCUAUAUGGGGCCUGCCAGAGAUUAAACUCAACCAAAUUUUAUUUAAUGUCAACCGAUUAUUUAAUAGUCAAAACUUUCAACAACGGAUCUCUUGGUUCUCGCAUCGAUGAAGAACGCAGCGAAAUGCGAUAAGUAAUAUGAAUUGCAGAUAUUCGUGAAUCAUCGAAUCUUUGAACGCACAUUGCGCCCUUUGGUAUUCCAAAGGGCAUGCCUGUUUGAGCGUCAUUUCUCCCUCAAACCCUCGGGUUUGGUGUUGAGCGAUAC